rnacentral:rRNA from 1 species
AUGAACGCUGGCGGCGUGCCUAACACAUGCAAGUCGAACGGAGAAUUACGCUGAUGAAGCUUCGGCAGAUUCUUGUAAAUUCUUAGUGGCGGACGGGUGAGUAACGCGUGGGCAACCUGCCUCAUACUGGGGGAUAACAGCUGGAAACGACUGUUAAUACCGCAUAAGCGCACGGUAUCGCAUGAUACAGUGUGAAAAACUCCGGUGGUAUGAGAUGGGCCCGCGUCAGAUUAGCCAGUUGGCAGGGUAACGGCCUACCAAAGCGACGAUCUGUAGCCGGCCUGAGAGGGCGGACGGCCACAUUGGGACUGAGACACGGCCCAAACUCCUACGGGAGGCAGCAGUGGGGGAUAUUGCACAAUGGAGGAAACUCUGAUGCAGCGACGCCGCGUGAAGUGAAGAAGUAUUUCGGUAUGUAAAGCUCUAUCAGCAGGGAAGAAAGACUCGUAAGAGAGAUGACGGUACCUGACUAAGAAGCCCCGGCUAACUACGUGCCAGCCGCAGC